GAUAAGAAAGUAGUGAUAAGCUACUGCCCAGUGUGUAUGAUAAGAAAGUAGUGAUAAGUUACAACCCAGUGUGUAUGAUAUGAACGUAGUGAUAAGCUACUACCCAGUGUGUAUGAUACGAACGUAGUGAUAAGCUACUACCCAGUGUGUAUGAUAUGAAAGUAGUGAUAAGCUACUACCCAGUGUGCAUGAUAAGAAAGUAGUGAUAAGCU